CCGGCCACUCCUCGCGGGUCGAGGCGGACUCCUGCUGGUCGUUACCAGCACAGGUAACUGUCAGGAUGAGUAGGGGGGUGGUGAAAUCGUGCCCACCCGGCCCUGGAACAAGGCACGUGUCCCUCAGCAAGUAGACACAUGCUGCUGGGCCUCUGAGCCUACACAGCAGACAUAACUCGAGAGUUCAUCUUACGCAUUUUCCUCCUUUAAAACAAUCAGCAGCUGGGAUGCUUUUUUAUACAGUGUCUCCUGCUGACUGCUGUCACAGCUUCUGCUGCUCAUCCCGAGGCCUGUCUCUGCGCCGUGUUGCUAGGCAAUGCCUGGCCUGGCCGGAUUUAAAUAAACGCGCAGACAGCACCCAGAACACGGUCCUCCGCCCACUGAUUGCUCCUCGCACCAAAGCUGGAAGCAGGGAGACCCUUCAUAUGGUCCACAGGGGUACUUUGACAUAGUCGGAGGAGUUAUUUUCAAGAAUUAAGUCUAGAAACCCUGACAAGGUGCCACUUCUGUAUCGGUCACACACACAGAACAAGACAACAAGCACGAAGGAAAAGAAAAUAUGAAGCAGGAGAAAUAGGGAUAGUCAUUAACUCCAGGGAAGUUCAAAAGAUGGCAUGAGUUCCACAAACACCGAGAACACAUCGAAGAAGCUUGCCCGGCUGAGUAACAAGCAGGUGGUUCAGCCGCUGAAGUCCCCCACCACGCAGAACAGAUCCCUGGAGGGAGAAAGGCAGAGGAAUUGCUUAUGAUCACCUUCUGUCGCUCGAUAGUCAAAGGAUGCCCCGUGGGAUGUCAACUGCAAGGCUGGGCUGAUUCAAAGAGCCAACUUCUACGCCCGUAUCACGAGACCUUGUCGGACUUGAGAGGUAGGAGCACCCUCACUCCCGGCUUGUGGGACCUGGGCCGGCCCUCGCUCCCGGGGGGCUGAGCAUGGAGAGGCGCAGCAAAGGGGAAGCCAGCCAGGCUGUCUGCUUGUGGACGACCGAGACCUGGGCCAGAGGCGGGAACGAGAACCUGGAGAGGACCACAUCUAGGUCCUUAAAGCUGAUAAAAUGUUAUGAACGUCAUAAACCAUUUUAAACCAAGUGGUCAGACAUACUCUUCCCUUAGGCAAGACGAUUGCUUUCAACAUCUUUCUGCACCUGCUUCCAUCCAGAACCAUAACAGCAGGGGAGAAUCACAGAAGGGACACGGGGGAGGGGGAGUCAGCAGAGUAUACGGUGCAUCAUCAUACGGAGGGGGCCCUACACAGAGCACCCCGCUUCGUCCCUGAGGCCACCGUAAGCGAGCAUCGCUAUUGACACCUACACAUGCAGAAACCAGCAUCCACGAGGAUCAGAGUUACAACUAAGCUAAGUUGUAAGCUGGAAGUUAAGUCCCUUGGUGGCCCCGAGUCUCUGUGCCACCAGGUUGAACCAAGUGAUCCUCGGUCAGGAGCAUCAACCCUCCUUCCCCGGACCAUCCUGUCUUAUAGCACAAACAUGUUGACAUGGUGAAUAGCAUAGCUCCUCAGUCUCCUGAGUGUGAAAAUCGGCUCGGCUGACAGGAAGGAAACAGGACACAGCCCCGUGCGGGUCAAGCUUGGAGGACAGACCCAGACGCACCCGCUGGCCAUCUGCAGGAGGUGGCGCAGGGCCGAGACCUGCCGUGUCGAUCCCGCCUCUGAGUGACAGGGCCUCCUUCCAGUGCCCCCCACAGCCCUCAGCUCUCUCCACCUAGAGCUGGGACGCUGGGCUCCUCAAGUGUCCUUGCCAAAUGCCGGGUUAACCCUUUACUAAUCCCGUCCCAGGAAGAGACAUCGGUCCAAAUGGGUCCUGCCUCCCGCCCCGUGUCCCGACUUAGAAGGGGCCCUCCCGCCCUGCUGUUGGAGACACCAGACUCCUUCCGGUCCGGACGGGACUACAGAUCCAUUGCGAGCUGUCACACGGUGUGAGCAUAAUAGGUUUUAUACUUAAAACAGAUUCCCACCGUGCCGAAGACAGACCCCGAACCAGCACACGUAGCCGGAAGUAUUUGCCAGGUUGUUUACCUCGGUACAGGUGAUCCUAUCAUUUUAAAUCAACGUUCUCGGGGCGCCUGGGUGGCGCAGUCGGUUAAGCGUCCGACUUCAGCCAGGUCACGAUCUCGCGGUCCGUGAGUUCGAGCCCCGCGUCGGGCUCUGGGCUGAUGGCUCAGAGCCUGGAGCCUGUUUCCGAUUCUGUGUCUCCCUCUCUCUCUGACCCUCCCCCGUUCAUGCUCUGUCUCUCUCUGUCCCAAAAAUAAAUAAACGUUGAAAAAAAAAAUUAAAAAAAAAAAUCAA